ensembl:lncRNA
UCUUUAUCAAUAUUACAUUUCCUUUUAUCCUGUUUGAAGCUCUAAGAGAGGACGGUACGACACAGCUGGCAGAGCCAUUGCUGUAAGCUUGGUACAUGGCGCUCCGCCAACAAACCUCCUCUCACCAACAGGAUUUUCUCUUCUGGUUGAUGCUUCAGCAAAACCAGAGCUACAAGACAAAGAGUCACAAGCAGGAGGUGAAGCGGCUCGGGGACUUUCCUCACUGCAGAAACAGCAGAUUAAAUCCAUAAUUCCCGUGAGAAGCGGCAGAGCAGGUUGGUGUGAAGGUGUGGACUCUGCUAUGAAUCAGGCUGAGGACCCAGAGGACGGAGUCCCUCCCUCUGAAGCCCCUCUGUGUGGGGAACAUGACAGCCAGACCAAAGCUCAGAGGUGAGAGGACCAUCUCCAACUGUCUUCCACUCGUCUCCAUGUCCCAACGUCUCUGACUCACUGACUCUGCUUCUACAUGUGUGACCAG